UAAUUGUCCCUUUCAGCUCUCCGCUCAGUUUGUUCUGUGUCAGUCAAAAGCACUUUAGGCUCCGUUUAGAAUGUUUAAAAAAAGUAAGGGAAAAUCGCGUAGUAAGAGAACAAGCCAACAAGAAAACAUGGAUCCAAACAACCACAUGAACCACACCAUGAACGCGAUGAACAUGCAGAUGCGCUCGAUGAAUCGUCUAAUGAACUCCUUCAUGCCGGAUCCGUUCAUGCAGGGAAAUCCCUUCGACGCGGGAUUCCCCCAGAACGCCUUGAUGGAGCGCCCGCAGAUGGGUGCGAUGGCCCCCAUGGGCCUCUUUGGGAUGCCCAUGAUGCCGAACUUCAAUAGGUUGCUAAACGUUGAUAUCGGCGGGAACUCUGGAGCCUCCUUCUGCCAGAGCACCGUGAUGACCAUGUCUUCGGGCCCCGAUGGCCGUCCACAAAUAUAUCAGGCAAGCACCAGCACCAAAACUGGCCCCGGGGGUGUUCGCGAGACCAGGAAAACAGUUCAGGACUCGCGCACGGGCGUCAAGAAGAUGGCCAUCGGACAUCACAUCGGCGAGCGCGCCCACAUCAUUGAGAAGGAGCAGGAUAUGCGUUCCGGCCAACUGGAGGAGCGUCAGGAGUUCAUCAACCUCGACGAGGAAGAGGCUGAGCAGUUCGAUCGCGAGUUCACCUCGCGCGCAACUCGCGGCGGCGGAAUUACUCAAGGACAUCGCGGUGGGAUGCAGGCCAUAAUGCCGGCUCGCCCAGCAAUUGCCAACACGGCAUCCACUGUGACCAUUGAGCCGGUGGAAGACGACGACGAGGACGAUGACUGUGUGAUCCAGGAGCAGCAGCCACCAAUGCCGCGCUCCUCCGGUGGCCGGCACAUGCCCCACUCGCCCUCGGCUGGUCAACACAGCAGCAGCAGCAGCUCCGUCGCAGCAGCAACACCAGCAGCAACCGUCUACGAUAUAACUGGCGGCCACAACAACAACUAUGGCAGCUCGCGUCGCCCGUAUCAGCGGAAUGGCCACGGUCACGGGCACGGGCUUGCCACGCCACGCCGCCCACUGCGAACGCCUCCGUCCUCGCCGCUGGCCACGGUUUCCAGCGGAAGCCACUCUAUUGCCGGCACUCCAAGAGAUUGGCGUCUGUAUAACGCACGAGUCUACCGAAAGUAGAGUUCAGACCGAAACCAAAAGAAAGCAAGAAACUAAACCGUAACUUACGCUAAUCCUGUAAUCAUACGCAACUAAAUCAACGAAGCACUGCGAUAAGCUAAGCGGUCGUCGACGUAACCACAUAUUGCACUCCGCUACUAACCGAAGGCGACGCCACGCUACGCUGCCCCAUCGCCGCGAGAACUACGAUCUUGGGCAACGCAACACAGCAACCAACAUAACAACAUAAAACACCACAUCGCCUCCGAACCAGGGAGCUACGUUGUACAUCCGCAUCCCUAUGCCGCCAGCACCAGGCGGCCGCAGUGCUUGAAGCACCACCACACAGACGUAGACGGCGUGACGGCCCACAAG
rnacentral:misc_RNA from 1 species